UCACAUUCUUUUACACACAUGCACGCUCAUGCACACACACACACACACACACACACACACACACACGACUUGAUCUCCUUUGUUAGGACAGAGGAUUGAGAACUAGAUGCAUACUGCUUCCUGUAAAGUCUCUGAGCCACAGUUUCAAGCCCCAGGUCUGGCUUCCAGGCAUGUAGCCAGGCUAGUGGGAAGGUGGCAUGGCUGGGAUAAUCUCCUUUUCUCAUAAUUCUGAGUCAACACCUGUUAGACGGACAGCAUCAUGCCAGCUUCUGAGCAAACAGAAACCUGGUCUGACAUGGGUGCAUUCUUGUGGACAAUCCCCCCUGUCUGAUGUCACCACUUAAGAAGUAUCUGUGGAGCUUAUCCUGGCUUUAGUAGCCCUUCAGUUAAGACUAACUGUGUAGUUUUCAAGGGGUGUCACACCCUGUCUGGGUUCAGUCUCCCCACUAUCCAAGGAGACAUUUAUACUAAUCCAAUGGCACUGAAGGUCCCCAGUCUGUGUGCCUCCCUGUCUUAGGGUGAAUAGUGCGUAUUGUAGGGAUGGGGCAUCUCUCCCUGCCCACCUCUAGGCCUUUCAUGCUUUUCAUCCUUCUGAUGACCCUUGCACCCUAAAAAUGCUGAGAACAUGAGUGUCUGUCUCAGGGAGACAGACUAAUGACCAGGAUGUCAGGCUGGUCCUUGCGGCCAAGGCUGGUGAAUUUGUAGCGCUGGCGCCCCAUGCCUGAUACAGUGCCUGGCACUGGGAACAGCUGAAGGCUUUAUUCAGCUAUAGUCAGAGAUGAAUGUUUCUACUGAAGCUAUUUGCCUAAAACACAUUCAGAUAAACCCAAGAGAACCAUGGCUACGUGUGCUGGGGUUUCCUGUUGGUGAGGAGGUAGAAGACCCUGCUGCUCUGUGCACCUCCAUCUCCAGCCACGUGCUCUUGGAACCCAGACACCAUGCAUGCUGUGGGGAAGCCAAGGCACAUGAAGAGGCCACAUGUGAGCGUGCCCUCUGUCAGCCGCAGUUGAGGCCUGAUGACGACCAACAAUGACCACUAGAUGUGUGGAUGAGAAACCUUUGAGAUGACUCCAUCUGACUUUAUCAAUCGCUGUGGACAAAACCCUGAGUAAGAGCUACCCAACUAAACCCCGUUCAACCCUGAGAUUCAUGAGAAAGGUAAACAACUGGAAUUGUUCAAGGCCAUUGUUUGGGUGUGGCUUGUAGAUAAUGGGAACAGUGUUAGAUGAAACAGCUUUAUACCCAGUGUCUCACACGAUGCCUGGAACAUAGUCGAUAUGCCAUAAUACAUAGCUCUUCUGGUGCUUUAUCUGGUGCCCUGGGUUCGGGGCUGUGCCCAGAGGGCUGGUGUGCGCACACUCAUGGGAAUCCCUGACUGACACCUGGUGUCCUGAAGAUGCUGUGGUAUAGGAAGGAGCAGGAUAGAGAAGGUGGGGGAGAGAAUCAAAGAAAACACACACAGGAGCUAGCUCUGGCUGGCAAUCCACAGGCAUGGUGCUAGGCACUCUACACCACUGACCUCAUAGCCAGGCCCUAAGAUGGGCCUCGCCCCAUUCUGCAGCUGAGAAAACUGAGGCUGGGAUAUGUGCUUUGGGGUCCAUUCCACGACCCUGGAGCCCAACAGCAUGGGCGCCGGACAGUGAGCAAUCUGCCUGUGCCCUCCCCCCACCGCCCCUCCUUUCUACCCACUCCCCCACCAUGCGCUCCUCUUACUCUCAGCCAAUCAAUAAACAAGUCAUUACCAUGGCCCCCAAGGUGCUUAUCAGCACUGCAGUGCCAGGAAGUGCUUCCCAGUGUCUCGCAUCUGUCUCUGCUGCUGAAAUUUCCUUAGUUUUUUGGAGACCAGGAAUGUGGGCUUGCUUUCCUCCUUUAUUUAAUAAAGCUCCAGGGACCUAAUAAUUCUUGCUAAGUUCCUCGCUGCUCCCCGCCUGCUCUCAGCAACC